CAUGCAGAAUUUUUUUAAUAUGGGCUAAGCCAGUAUGAAGACAGUUAUUGUUGUUUUUAUUGUUGUGUGAGGUGCUUUUGCACUUAAAUAUGGAAUCCCGAAACUUUGCAUUAUGGACAGAUACCAUAUUUUCCUUUCAUGAUGAAAAUAUCAGUGUUUCAGGCAAGUCUGUGCCAUUUACUUGUUGCUUCUGGAGCAGAAUGUUUGGGGAAGAAAAGGAAAAGAAAUGUGCCCAAACUCGCUGAUGCACACUGUAAAUAUCAAAGCUGUAUGAAUCAGAAUGUAUGAAUGAUAAUUAUGUCCUUUUGUCCGUGUGUGUGCUGUGCAUGUGCCAACAUAUAAAGGAAUUUAACUGAACUAUUUGUUGUAUUUUUAUUAGUCUCUCAUUCAUUAUGCCGGAGAAAGCAUUUCUAACUCAAGAAAGAAACUAAAUGAAGAUGCCCAGAUCAACUCACUGAGGACUUUGAUAAUGCAGUGUACAAAAUGCUUAUGCAAUUGUACCAAGAACAGUGCUAAUAAGAUGCUGUCUAAUAUAUUCCUGCGUUUGUUAACAUCAAAAUUUAUGAAUGAUCUUGUAGAUAUUUGCAAAAAUCUGGUAAGUACAUUCCCUGUGUUUCUGAAUGCAGAAAUGAUAUAUUUCUUAUGGUAUAAUAGUUUGGAGGCAAACAAAAUAAGACACUUAAUUCUAUUUAACAUUUGUAUAUUUUGAACACAGGCAUAGGGGAAAAAUGAGGACAAGUAGAUAAUAUUUGAUCAAUAUUAGCAUGCCUGUUCAUAUUUAAAAAAUGCUAUUUUGGGAAUUUUUUAAUACUUUAUUAAUGUUAAAUGAUAUAUAGAUUUUACGCCAUAGAAAGAAUUUCUGUAACAUGACAUUUAACUUUAAUGCAUGUGGAAAUGUUAAGAAUUUUUUUUUUUUUUUUAGUUUGUUGGGUUUAUGUGUCUUAAAAAACACUGUAGAGAUGUUUUUAUGUAGAUGUUAAAUGUUUGAGCUGUAACUGGCUCUCUUCUCAAUGACAAAAGUAAUAGGAUGGCACAUCACUGUGUUUACUACAACUUUUGAAACUUCUCAUUUUGGCAGAUUGUGCUGUAGUCAGGUCUAGGUAGGCAAAAUCCUUUUUUUUUUUUUCAGGUUAGGAAAACCUGAGGAAUUUACCUUCUGUUAGCUUCUCAUCUAGUAGGGAAAAUAGUAAUUCCUGUGCCCUCAAAAAGGCCCUACGCUGCCUUUUCAUUUCUGUGUAAUUAUGAAGUAUGGUGGGAAGUUUGGUGUCUUCCAGAGAAUUGUUUUUCAACUACUAACAAUGUCCUUGGCACCAUCUAAAACACAAAAACGUGUGUCUGUCUCAGGAAGCUUACGUCUUGAAGAGAAUAGUUCAAAUACAAUUUACAUGUUUAUAAGACAGUUUUAUCACAAAGAGUGAAAUGCAUCGCUUCAGUGUAGCCCUUAUUUUCUUCACCUGUUUGAGCUGACUGGAAAACUGUAGUGUCUUUCCUCGUUC
rnacentral:lncRNA from 1 species